CACAGAGAGACGACAACGAGCGGGAGAGAGAGAGAGAGAGAGAGAGAGAGAGAGAGAGAGUGGGGAAGACGUGAAAGGCUAGGGUUUCCAAACGAGAGGAAGGAGAUAACUUUCUGGGGUAUUUAGAAAGAGAUUAGAGGCGUUCUCAGAGAGAGAAGAAGGAUGGCAGAGCACGGGGAUUGAGGAAGGAAAGUGGGAGAUAACACGAGGCUUGAGGGAAGGAUAGUGGAGGAGGUUCUGGUGUUCUGGGAGCUCACAGAAGAGGAUAUCGGAGUCUUCAGCAAAUCUGAUAACAAAUUGUCAUUGGCAAGUUAGAUCUUUGUGGCUGGAAAAUUCAAAAGCCAUGUUGAAUGUCGUUGUGGUUUCCCUGUAGGUCUCCCCUAUGCUGGAAAGUGAUAAUGCUGCAGCCGUACAAAGAGGUCAUCUCAUUAAGUCAAGGAUGCUGGUUUGUCCAGUGCCGUUUGCCUUUCCACCUGUUGUGCACCCUGCACUUCUCUGGAUUUGGGUGCCAUGGAAGGAGAGAGCUACUAGGAGAUACACUAAGUGAUAAGGCAAAUUGGGUAAGAAGCAAUCACAAAGCUUAUUGAUUUCAGCCAUACCCAUAAUGUGGAAUUGAAGGAGCUGGUCUCUAAAAUGCUGAGGAUGUUGUAUGGACAGAAGGUUCUGGUAGUGGUUUACCAUGUGGUCAUGAAUAAUUGCGUGACAUUUCCUAUUAAAGGGAUAUACUGGAAUCAUGAAGGAUCUGCUCAGGUGUUUGAAGGAGAGAGAGCUAGGGAUCUUAGGUGGCAUCAAGCAUAUAGAUUUAGCAAAUAUGAGAGGCUACUGCAGGCUUCCAUCUCAAAGCUUCUUAUCUGUAUGAUUACCUGGCUAUGAUAAGCUUAGAUGGUUUUUUGCAUCAACAUUUCCAAUAAGACCAGGCCUCAAAUUGGAGUGCUUGUCUAAAAAUGUGCUUGGGUUUGCCCGAGGACUAUCUUAUACUGAAAAAUAGUUCUCUGAGAAAUCCAUAACUUUCUCCUUGAUGAUAACUGGGAGCUUCGUGUCUGAUUUUAGUCUUGCAAAGCUGCUGGUUGAUGAGAAUUCACAUCUUACAACUAUGACCAUUGGCAUUUAGGCUAUCUGGCUCCGGACUGUUGACAAAGUGGGGCAGCCACUGAGUAAUUGGAAUGCAUAUAGCUCUGUAGUUCUCCUUCUUGAGCUUGUAAUUGGAAAGGGAAGUAUUGACUUAACAUUUAUGAAGUGUGGUAAGUUGGAUGAACACUUUACUAGAAAGAAUUGACCAAAAGCCAUUUUGGACAAAAGAUAUAUCAUUUCAGAUGCAGAAACAGUCGAAGUAGUUCUUAAAUUCAUGGAAGGGUGCACUGAUGCAAAACCAGAUAAUUGGCCGACAAUUAGCCUGGUACUACAGUUGCUAGAGUGAUACCCAUGUCACCUUGUCCUAAGGAUUUUUACUAGUCCCAAGAAUUGGACAUGAAAGCUUGUUGGUGUGGCAUGACCACUGCAAUUGGCUGUGCAUCUGUUAUUUGCUGCCAUCAUCACUACAAAA